rnacentral:precursor_RNA from 1 species
ACUAUAUUUUCAGACUCUGAAAAUGUACAGUUUUUAGGAUAUAUCUGUUGGUAUGGAGU